GACGAACGCUUGCGGAGUGCUUAACACAUGCAAGUCGAACGAGUGGCGAACGGGUGAGUAACACGUGGGUGACCUGCCCUGCACUUCGGGAUAAGCCUGGGAAACUGGGUCUAAUACCGGAUUGUGUGGGAUGGGCCCGGGGCCUAUCUGCUGGUUGGUGGGGUCAUGGCUACCAAGGCGCGACGGGUAGCCGGCCUGAGAGGGUGGACGGCCACAUUGGGACUGAGACACGGCCCAGACUCCUACGGGCAGCAGCAGUAGGGAAUAUUUCGCAAUGGGCGGAUGCCUGAUGCAGCGACGCCGCGUGUAUGAAGAAGGCCUUCGAGUUGUAAAGUACUUUCAGCGAGUGGGCGUUACUCGCAGAAGAAUCACCGGCUAACUCCGUGCCAGCAGCCGCGGUAAUAC
rnacentral:rRNA from 1 species